UACCACUUCCAAGGAAGGCAGCAGGCGCGUAAAUUACCCAAUGAUAAUUCUUUGAGGUAGCGACGAAAAAUAUCAAUGUAUUAUCUAUUUGAUAAUAUGUUUGAAAUGAGAUCAAUUUAAAAUCCUUAACAAGGAACGAUUGGAGGGCAAGUCUGGUGCCAGCAGCCGCGGUAAUUCCAGCUCCAAUAGCUAGUGUUAAAGUUGUUGCAGUUAAAAAGCUCGUAGUUGGAUUUUAUAAAAAAAAAGGACAUUUUAUUUCUCUCUAAAUAUCUAUCUCCUCUCUAAUCUCUCUAAAUAUCUUUUUUUAAAGAAAACUAUAUAAAAAAGAGUAUUCAAGAUGAAAAUCUAUACACUUUUUUCAAAAAAAAAAAUAUAAAAAAAAAUUUUGAAAAAAAACAGGGGCCCUCAACCCCUUUAUAAUUAAUUAAAAACAGGGGCCCUCAACCCCUUUAUUAUAAUUAAUUAAAAACAGGGGCCCUCAACCCCUUUAUUAUAAUUAAUUAAWUAGAUAGAGAGAGAGAGAGAGAGAGAGAARAAUAUUCGAGAGAGAAAAAUAUGUUUAACCUGUUUACUUUGAAAAAAUUAGAGUGUUCAAAACAGAUUCAUUUAGAGUCUUGAAUAAAAUUAGCAUGGUAUAAUAUAAAAUGGAUUCUGAUUUAAAUAUUUUCCAUUAAAAAAGGUUUAUUUAUAAAAAAACUUUAAAGUUUUUUUUCUUUAAACAGAAUUUUAAUUAGAUUAGAAUAACGAUUAAUAGGGAUAGUUGGGGUCACUCAUAUUCAAUUGUCAGAGGUGAAAUUCUAGGAUUAAUUGAAGAUGAACUAAUGCGAAAGCAUUUGACAAGGAUGUUUUCAUUAAUCAAGAACGAAAGUUGGGGGAUCGAAGAUGAUCAGAUACCGUCGUAGUCCCAACCCUAAAUUAUGUGAACCUAGGAUCUAUAGGUGAUAAAAUCAUAUGUCCCCCUGGGCACUAAAGUGAGAAAUCAUAAGUAUUUGCAUUCCGGGGGGAGUAUGGUCGCAAGGCUGAAACUUAAAGGAAUUGACGGAAGGGCACCACCAGGAGUGGAACCUGCGG
rnacentral:rRNA from 1 species